GGGACAGGAUUUCUUCUGUGCGACUGACUGAACGAACAUCUUCAUCAGUAUUGCAAGGUACACCGCACAUCACAGGCCGAGCACUGCACAUCAAGUCCACUUUUCAUCUUGCGACGACUCCACCGCGGCAGACUCCUUAUCAUCCAACAGUUCCAACGGUCAGCGUCCAAUUGGCCCAAAACGCACAGUCCUCUCCUCUGCCCUCCACACUGUCCGGUCACUCCAGUGGAGAGUGGCCACCGGAUUUGUCGUGACUCUUUGGAGUAAUGCUCAACCACUUCUCCUGCUCUACGGAGGAUCUACUACAUAGUACAGUACGCCACCUUGAACUCGGCUUCCCCAAACA
rnacentral:lncRNA from 1 species